CACCCUAUAGUAAUUCGCAACCUUCGCAACAGCUAAUUAAUAUGGGAUGGAAAGAAAGGGACUUUGUAAAAAAAAAAGAAAGAAAAUCACUCUGCAAGCCCAAAAAAUCAUUCCCCGAGUUUUCGUCGUUCGUUGUUUACCUGUCAGGCCAUCACCCCGUUUGAACACACUUUAAACGUGUUUUUUGGUGUCGUGUGACAUUGAAAUGACACACCGUAUGCUCGGGGAAAAUGGCGACCCCCGAGUCCAUGCCCCGACCCCCGAGUUUUAGUUACCCCCGUCGGCCGUUGCCAAUUGAUAGCUGUCAGAAGCCUUUGAUUAUGUUCUAUUCAAGCUUAUUUUCAUGGGUGAUACUAUGAAAGUUUUCUUCGUAAAUUUUUUAUUUGUGUUUCCUUUGAUGAUCUAGACAACUGUCGUUUGUCAUUUGUUUUCAAAUUAAUAAUUAUGUUUGUGAAGCAGACGAUAUGUUUUCAUUUCUAAUAAGAAACUUGGUGUUUGCUUGUGCUUGGUCUGUUAUUGUUCCUAAUUUGGAAAAGUAAGAAUUUUUUUUUUGUGUGCUAGACUAGAACAAAUAUUUUUAUAUAAUUAUGUUUCUUAUUGUAGGUAUUCCUUAAACUUCUUGGUUAUCAGCUCUAACCAAGUUUUCACAUUUAAGACUUUUUGACUAAAAAGAUGUUUUUCACUGGAGGAGCUGGGACUGGGUACAUCAGAAGCCCCUGUGUAGUUGAGCUGUUAGAACUUUAUUUCUUGCGAGAACAGAUCCUCCAGAAACUGCAUCUUCAACUGUUCAACAGCAGAUCUGUCAACUUCAGGUUGAGCUGCAGCUGGCCUUCCCUUUACAGCUAAUAUUGGCUGCUUCUGGGAGUGAUAGCAUUCAGCUAAGGCUUCAGCCAACUAAUAAAAGGAAUAACCUUAACAUUGCCACGGAAUCAGUCAUUGCAAAGAUUUCACUAUACAAUAGCGCCGAAAUUAACGGUGAAGAAGUUAAAUAUAAAAAACAGAGCUGAGAAACACUCAAUUGAUAAUUCUCCCAGCAAAGAUUCAUCGAGUAGUUCAUUCAGGGCUAAGAAAGAGAAGUCAAAGUUGGAGAAGGAGCUGUUGUCUUCUGUGGUCUCUGCAAUCAAGCUUAUGUCUCAUGUUGAGUCAGCUUACAAAGUUAGGGAAGUUGAAACAUACACCAAGCAAGUAGAAAAGUUUGAGUUGCACAUUCAUGAGUUCACACUCUAAGUGGAAGAGCUCAACAGCACUAUUAUCGACAUCAGCAGCCACAAAACUCGUUUGAAAACAUUGAACUGACCAAGGAAGUACGAGAGCUGAAAUUCAGCUACGAAAACAUCAGCUAUUUGAAAAGCAACUCAGCUCAAGCCAAACAAAUUCGAAGAUCUGCGUCGUCGCUUUGAAGACAAAAAACGCGUAAAAACUAAUAAGAGAAGAAAGCGUAAAUCUCCACCGAUGGCACAAAAAAAAAUUCAUUUCUGUUCUCUUGAAGCGCCGUUCCCCUUUGGAAGGUAAUUUGCACUCAGUCAAAAUUGAGCUGGAGUCGAUCCGCGUUCAGCUGGAAGAGGAAGCGGAAGCUUGCUUGGAUUUGGAACGUCAGCUCUCCAAAGUCAACCAGGAUUGUCUGUCUUGGAAAUCCAAGUACGAACAUGCCUGCACUUUUCACACCGAAGAGAUCGAAGAAAUCAGGCGCAAAUUUCACAUCCAGGUGACUUAACUGGAAAAACAGAUCAGCGCUCUGAUCUCCAAAUGCUCAGGUUUGGAGAAGAGCACGUUACGUUUACAGAAUGAGGUAGACGUUCUCAUCAUCGAUUUGAAGAAGGCUAAUAGCACCGCUCGAGAGAUGCAGAAGCGCAGCAAGCAACUGGAGCUCAUCAACAUUGAAUUCAAAUCCAAGUUGGAUAAGAUUGAGCUGAGUGUCCUAUACGACGCUUCCCAGAGAGAUAAUCAUAACAAGACGACAGAGAUUUCCCGUUUGACUCACGAACUGAACAAAACUCGCGAACGGAAAGAUCAGCUUACCCGUGAAAACAAGAAAUUGGAUGAGAUCGCUGAGCUGAAGAGCCAGUACUCUGAAGUCUGAACUCAACAGCAGAUUCUAUUAGUUAGAAAUUGAAUAUCGCCGUCUAGAAAACGAACUUGAAGAGUUGCGUUAACCAUACAAAGAAAUCCAGAGACUGCUCGUAAAGUUGAAGAACAUCGCGUUCGUCGCAUGGAAUUGCAGCUUAGAUGAACCAAUCAAUCUCGAUAUGGAAAGCCGACUUACCGAUGAGGAGGAAGAUCUCAAGUCUAUAAAGAAGCAAAUGUCAGCAAAUGUCUAUAUCGAAAUCUUGUCCAUGCGGAAACCAAGUUGAAAACCGAAAUCCAGCGCAUUCGGAAGAAGAUGAUAAUCACAAUCACCGAGUUGGAAAUGGGGGGUAACUUAAUCUCGGGGGUCGGGGAACUAAAGCUCGGGGAAAAUGGCUACGACCGAGUCCCCGUUCAAACGGAGUGACGGGUAAACAAAAAAAGAUUAAAACUCGGGGAAUUGACUCGGGGACGGGGAGUCGGGGAAUGAUUUUUUUGGGCUGACGGAGUAUGGCACGUUAGGCCUAUUUGGCUCACAUCUAUUUGAUGGAAAAUACCGAAAAAUAUUUGUAAAAUCCGUUAAAAUCAAAUUGCAAUGAUAA
rnacentral:misc_RNA from 1 species